UACGUAGGGUGCAAGCGUUAAUCGGAAUUACUGGGCGUAAAGCGUGCGCAGGCGGUGAUGUAAGACAGAUGUGAAAUCCCCGGGCUUAACCUGGGAACUGCAUUUGUGACUGCAAGGCUGGAGUACGGUAGAGGGGGAUGGAAUUCCGCGUGUAGCAGUGAAAUGCGUAGAUAUGCGGAGGAACACCGAUGGCGAAGGCAAUCCCCUGGACCUGUACUGACGCUCAUGCACGAAAGCGUGGGGAGCAAACAGG
rnacentral:rRNA from 1 species